rnacentral:rRNA from 1 species
UACGUAUGGAGCAAGCGUUAUCCGGAUUUACUGGGUGUAAAGGGAGUGUAGGUGGCAUCACAAGUCAGAAGUGAAAGCCCGGGGCUCAACCCCGGGACUGCUUUUGAAACUGUGGAGCUGGAGUGCAGGAGAGGCAAGUGGAAUUCCUAGUGUAGCGGUGAAAUGCGUAGAUAUUAGGAGGAACACCAGUGGCGAAGGCGGCUUGCUGGACUGUAACUGACACUGAGGCUCGAAAGCGUGGGGAGCAAACAGG